AUUUUUUCUUUAAUUUUUUUCCUUCAUAUAAAAAUUGACAGAAUUUAAUAGAUCAUUCAAAACACAAUCUUUUCUUAUGUGCUACCUUCAAAAUAUUAUUUUCCUCCUUUUUCGUUUUUAGUAUAUAUUUUUCAUUAAAUAUUUUUUAUUAAGACAUUUAUAUUUGGAGGAGAAAUGAACAUUAAAUAUAAUAGCUAUUCUUUAGGUGUUAAGGAUGACUACGUGGAUGUUCGCCUUGCAGUUUUAAGUUUUGAGGUAAAAAAAUUUUUAAUCAAAAGAUAAAAGUAAACCUUGUCAAAUCGAAUUGAAUGACUAUUUAUAAAUUAAUGGAUAAACACUAGUUUUAAAUUUUGCUGCUGUUAACUUUUUUUAAUGGUUAAAUAAAUUUGUGGAUAAACACUAGAGCCUACAAAAAGUAUAAGGACAAUAGGUACACUAAAAGUGUCAAGUCAAAAAAAUAAUAAAAAAACAAAAACAACCAACAACAACUAAGAAGGAAAAAAUACAUCAGAAAAAACCACAACAUAAACAACAAACAAAAAAACUAAAAGAGAGAAAACCGCACCAACCCUGCAGCAGAACGUCACCCCAAUAUGACCAAGCUAGAUCUCAGAUCUUUACAUCAGAAAAAACCACAACAUAAACAACAAACAAAAAAACUAAAAGAGAGAAAACCGCACCAACCCUGCAGCAGAACGUCACCCCAAUAUGACCAAGCUAGAUCUCAGAUCUCUAAACCACCGAAAGCAAAAAUUGGCAUAGAACAGGAGAGCCAAGCCAAGAAUCUCAAUUCGAUAUUGGAUCAGACUUAUGAAAUGAUUCUAAAGCCAAUCGUUGAAGCAUAACGAGUUCAAUUGGAGUUAUGAAGGUGCCAACACCAAGCCAAAAAAAUAAUCAGAAUUCAGAUAUGGCUUUUGUGGUAUUUCAAUUGAGUUUCCAUCAGAAUUAAUCAAGGAAAAUCGCGGUAUAAAAAAACAUUUUUGAUGGAUCCAUUGGACCCAAUAUGAAACAUUAAAACAUUGUCAAUGAAUCCAACAAAACUUAUUAGGAUGUAAAAUCAUUAUUUUCGAUCCAUUAAAUCAAAUAAAAAAAACUUUGAAAUCAAUGUUAAAUGUGGUUUCUGGGAUUACAUCAAUAUAGAUGAAAGUAAUAUUUUUGCGGAGCUAGACUAAGCUUGGAUCAACAAGGAAUUUGAGAAAUAUUAGUUGAGAAUAAAAUGAAGCGGUUGUGGCUCAAGAAAGUUUGUAGUUGUUAACUCUACGAAUAAAAGAUGGUAUAUAUAGAUAGGAGUGCGAGUGGGAAUUUAGGGUUAUGAGAAAAGUAGGUUGGUUUUGGUAUUAGUCACAUGAUAUUGAUGUUUUCUAGAAAUAUCUAGAUGUUGAUGAAGUAAUUACUAAUUAAAUAUAUAUUUUUAGAUGGUUAUGUUUAAUUUAGAAUUAAAAUGAUUUGUUAAGGUUUUCUUAUUUUGGUUGGCCUUUUCGACUUUCAUAUAUUUGAGAUAUCCAAUGAAAAAAAUGUCUUUUAAUUUUGAUCUCUUUAUUGGUAAAUUCUGUCCAUAUACUAUAUUAUGGAUUAUUUUAAUUCAAUUAUAUAAGCUUUGGCUAACAAAAACUAGAGAUUAGAAAAAAAAACUAAAAUAAAUUUUUAUUUUCAUAUUUUAUUUUUACUUACUAUUUAGACUCACAUGUAUUAUUAUAUAUUUCAGUUAGAAUAUAUAAUCGACUAAACUCUAUUAUUAAACGGAAAUAUAUGAAUUAAUUAUAAAUUGUACACAAUUUUUAUAUUUUGAAUGUAUAGACCCAUAACCUUGUUUUUCAUUAAAAAAACAUAAUUUUGCACAUUUUCUUCAUUCUAAACAAGUAGUAAGUCAUACUAAUUCUGUUUCUAGUGUUUUCUCACCAAUUAUCAUGAGUUUUUAACCAUAUAAUCACAUAUACAAUACAAUCAAUUCAUAACAUACUCAUCACAAUAUCAUACAUGAUGGUUUAUCAUAAAUAUCAUAUAAAUCGUUGGCAUAAAAAUCAUAUUUUCACUUCACCGUCUACUAGAGCAUUGAAUGAGAUUUCCAAUCCAUCCGAUUGUGUCCGAUUUUUUGUUACAAAACUCAAGUUACGACGAUUUUAAUUCUGCAUUUUUUUCAAAACAGUAUGUAUCGACCUAUAUCCUUAUAUAUCGACUCCUAACAGGAAGAAACUUGGUUUUUUGAAAAACCUUCAGUAUGGGUUGAACCAUAACUCGAAUGAAUCGAACCAUUAUCUUGUGUUUCAUUAAAAAAAAUCAUAAAGUUUCACAUUUUCUUCAUUCCAAACACAUAGUAAUUCAUACUAUCAUUCCUUAGCAUCAAUUAAUAUCUUAGGAGGAUAAAAACAUAACAAAACCACACAUACAAGGCAACAAUACAUGAUCCCUUAAUAUCUUAGGAGGAUAAAAACAUAACAAAACCACACAUACAAGGCAACAAUACAUGAUCCCACAAUCUUUCAUUAUGUUUCCUCAUUUAUUAACAUCCCAAACACAAUAGCACAACAUCAUAUCACAAACCUUUACAUGUUAUACUUUCUAUUAUCACAAUCAUGUCAAUAACGUAAAACCUUAGCUUUCUACUCAUGAAAAUAUUCUCUAAUGAGGAAUCUAACUGGAACCGACUUUUAGAUUUGAGUGAUGAUGAAAAGGAAACGGUUUGGUUGAUGACCUUCACUUCUUCAUCAAGCUUCCUCUUUUUUCUUCAAAUUUUUUCUUAUCUCUUCUCUUUAUUUUCUCUCCCUAUGUUAUGUUUUUCUUCCACUUCCUACUGAUAGUUGGAAAGGAAGAUAGAAAAGAGAUUGGAAACAGAAACAUGUGGUCAAAAAAGAGAGAUAUUGUGUGGUUGGAAAUUAAAAAGGGUAAUAAGAAAUAUCUCAUGUGGUAUUUCUUUAUAAUAUUCUCUUUACUAAAACAAUUGGCUCAUUAUUAAUGUUAUCAAAAUAUCGCUUCUUGUAUAAAUUAAUAAAAUGUCAGUCUUAAAGAAUAUUAAUUAUAUCAAUUGGAGUUCACUGGUGACUCUAAUUGUCCCAACUGACAACUUUCUGAGCAUAUAAGAACUCAGUUGAUCUUAACUAGUAAGAAUUUGACUAUUUAAGGAAACACAGGGUAUUAUAACUUCCACCUUCCAAUUUAGGAAUUUUGAUCCAAGUGACUACUUUACCUUCCAACUAUAAGUUCGUUGUCUUGGCCUUGAUUUGUCUAAAGGUAAUAGAAAACCCAUGUUCUUCUGUUGAAACUUCAAUACAAAUUGACCGAAUAAUUUUGGAAAAAAGAAACUUUAACUUUGUAACUGUUGGAUUGUAAAUUCUAGAAGUGACCACACGAGAAUCGCAACUUGAGAUUUUCAAACCUUCACAAAAAAUUAAACAAAAACGAAUCUUCUAACAUAGAUCUCUCACCCAAUAUUGAGAAGCUAAACCAAAUUUUCAAUGAUAGAAGUUAGAGGCUGAAGAUGAAGGAAAAUUUCAUAUGCAUGCAUUCCGUAAACAAAAACUAAAAAGAUUUUUGAAAAUUUGAGAAAAUAUUGUGAGGUGUGUUCUAUGAUCCUCAAAACCAUGUGAAUUUUAUUAGACGAUUUAAAGAAAUGAUUUGCAUAUAUCUUUGAGAUAAUGCUUAAAAAUGAAAGAAAAUAUAUAUUUUAUUCGAGUCAGGAGCAAAGGGUAUAGUUCGAGUAUAGUGAGUGAAUGAUUUAAAUCAACAAUUAUAGAUUUUAAAAGAAGAGUGAUUUGCAAUGUAUAAUAAAUUCAAGUAGAUUUAUUAGAUUUUUUCUUUAAUUUUUUUCCUUCAUAUAAAAAUUGACAGAAUUUAAUAGAUCAUUCAAAACACAAUCUUUUCUUAUGUGCUACCUUCAAAAUAUUAUUUUCCUCCUAUUCGUUUUUAGUAUAUAUUUUUCAUUAAAUAUUUUUUAUUAAGACAUUUAUAUUUGGAGGAGAAAUGAACAUUAAAUAUAAUAGCUAUUCUUUAGAUGUUAACGAUGACUACGUGGAUGUUCGCCUUGCAGUUUUAAGUUUUGAGGUAAAAAAAAUUUUAAUCAAAAGAUAAAAGUAAACCUUGUCAAAUCGAAUUGAAUGACUAUUUAUAAAUUAAUGGAUAAACACUAGUUUUAAGUUUUGCUGCUGUUAACUUUUUUUAAUGGUUAAAUAAAUUUAUGGAUAAACACUAGAGCCUACAAAAAGUAUAAGGACAAUAGGUACACCAAAAGUGUCAAGUCAAAAAAAUACUAAAAAAAACAAAAACAACCAACAACAACAAAGAAGGAAAAAAUACAUCAGAAAAAACCACAACAUAAACAACAAACAAAAAAACUAAAAGAGAGAAAACCGCACCAACCCUGCAGCAGAACGUCACCCCAAUAUGACCAAGCUAGAUCUCAGAUCUCUAAACCACCGAAGGCAAAAAUUGGCAUAGAACAGGAGAGCCAAGCCAAGAAUCUCAAUUCGAUAUUGGAUCAGACUUAUGAAAUGAUUCUAAAGCCAAUCGUUGAAGCAUAACGAGUUCAAUUGGAGUUAUGAAGGUGCCAACACCAAGCCAAAAAAAUAAUCAGAAUUCAGAUAUGGCUUUUGUCGUUUUUCAAUUGACUUUCCAUCAGAAUUAAUCAAGGUAAAUCGCGGUUGAAAAAAACAUUUUUGAUGUAUCCAUUAGACGCAAUAUGAAACAUUAAAACAUUGUCAAUGAAUCCAACAAAACUUAUUAGGAUGUAAAAUCAUUAUUUUCGAUCCAUUAAAUCAAAUAAAAAAGACUUUGAAAUCAAUGUUAAAUGUGGUUUCUGGGAUUACAUCAAUAUAGAUGAAAGUAAUAUUUUUGCGGAGCUAGACUAAGCUUGGAUCAACAAGGAAUCUGAGAAAUAUUAGUUGAGAAUAAAAUGAAGCGGUUGUGGCUCAAGAAAGUUUGUAGUUGUUAACUCUACGAAUAAAAGUUGGUAUAUAUAGAUAGGUGUGCGAGUGAGAAUUUAGGGUUAUGAGAAAAGUAGGUUGGUUUUGAUAUUAGUCACAUGAUAUUGAUGUUUUCUAGAAAUAUCUAGAUGUUGAUGAAGUAAUUACUAAUUAAAUAUAUAUUUUUAGAUGGUUAUGUUUAAUUUAGAAUUAAAAUGAUUUGUUAAGGUUUUCUUAUUUUUGUUGGUCUUUUCGACUUUCAUAUAUUUGAGAUAUCCAAUGAAAAAAAUGUCUUUUAAUUUUGAUCUCUUUAUUGGUAAAUUCUGUCCAUAUACUAUAUUAUGGAUUAUUUUAAUUCAAUUAUAUAAGCUUUGGCUAACAAAAACUAGAGAUUAGAAAAAAAAACUAAAAUAAAUUUUUAUUUUCAUAUUUUAUUUUUACUUACUAUUUAGACUCACAUGUAUUAUUAUAUAUUUCAGUUAGAAUAUAUAAUCGACUAAACUCUAUUAUUAAACGGAAAUAUAUGAAUUAAUUAUAAAUUGUACACAAUUUUUAUAUUUUGAAUGUAUAGACCCAUAACCUUGUUUUUCAUUAAAAAAACAUAAUUUUGCACAUUUUCUUCAUUCUAAACAAGUAGUAAGUCAUACUAAUUCUGUUUCUAGUGUUUUCUCACCAAUUAUCAUGAGUUUUUAAUCAUAUAAUCACAUAUACAAUACAAUCAAUUCAUAACAUACUCAUCAAAAUAUCAUACAUGAUGGUUUAUCAUAAAUAUCAUAUAAAUCGUUGGCAUAAAAAUCAUAUUUUCACUUCACCGUCUACUAGAGCAUUGAAUGAGAUUUCCAAUCCAUCCGACUGUGUCCGAUUUUUUGUUACAAAACUCAAGUUACGACGAUUUUAAUUCUGCAUUUUUUUCAAAACAAUAUGUAUCGACCUAUAUCCUUAUAUAUCGACUCCUAACAGGAAGAAACUUGGUUUUUUGAAAAACCUUCAAUAUGGGUUGAACCAUAACUCGAAUGUAUCGACCCAUUACCUUGUGUUUCAUUAAAAAAAACCACAAAGUUUCACAUUUUCUUCAUUCCAAACACAUAGUAAUUCAUACUAUCAUUCCUUAGCAUCAAUUAAUAUCUUAGGAGGAUAAAAACAUAACAAAACCACACAUACAAGGCAACAAUACAUGAUCCCACAAUCUUUCGAUUAUGUUUCCUCGUAUUAUUAAAUCAUGACCAAACACAAUAGCACAAUGCAUCAUUCACAAACCUUAUACUUUCUAUUAUCACAAUCAUGUCAAUAACAUAAAACCUUAGCUUUCUACUCAUGAAAAUAUUCUCUAAUGAGGAAUCUAACUGGAACCGACUUUUAGAUUUGAGUGAUGAUGAAAAGGAAACGGUUUGGUUGAUGACCUUCACUUCUUCAUCAAGCUUCAUCUUCUUUCUUCAAAUUUUCUUCUUAUCUCUUCUCUUAAUUUUCUCUCCCUAUGUUAUGUUUUUCUUCCACUUCCUACUGAUAGUUGGAAAGGAAGAUAGAAAAGAGAUUGGAAACAGAAACAUGUGGUCAAAAAAGAGAGAUAUUGUGUGGUGGGAAAUUAAAAAGGGUAAUAAGAAAUAUCUCAUGUGGUAUUUCUUUAUAAUAUUCUCUUUACUAAAACAGUUGACUCAUUAUUAAUGUUAUCAAAAUAUUGUUUCUUGUAUAAAUUAAUAAAAUGCCAGUGUUAAAGAAUAUUAAUUAUAUCAAUUGGAGUUCACUGGUGACUCUAAUUGUCCCAACUGACAACUUUCUGAGCAUAUAAGAACUCAGUUGAUCUUAACUAGUAAGAAUUUGACUAUUUAAGGAAACACAGGGUAUUAUAACUUCCACCUUCAAAUUUAGGAAUUUUGAUCCAAGUGACUACUUUACCUUCCAACUAUAAGUUCGUUGUCUUGGCCUUGAUUUGUCUAAAGGUAAUAGAAAGCCCAUGUUCUUCUGUUGAAACUUCAAUACAAAUUGACCGAAUAAUUUUGGAAAAAAGAAACUUUAACUUUGUAACUGUUGGAUUGUAAAUUCUAGCAGAGACCACACGAGAAUCGCAACUUGAGAUUUUUAAACCUUCACAAAAAAUUAAACAAAAACGAAUCUUCUAACAUAGAUCUCACACCCAAGAUUGAGAAGCUAAACCAAAUUUUCAAUGAUAAAAGUUAUAGGUUGAAGAUGAAGGAAAAUUUCAUAUGCAUGCAUUCCGUAAACAAAAACUAAAAAGAUUUUUGAAAAUUUGAGAAAAUAUUGUGAGGUGUGUUCUAUGAUCCUCAAAAUCAUAUGAAUUUUAUUAGACGAUUUAAAGAAAUGAUUUGCAUAUAUCUUUGAGAUAAUGCUUAAAAAUGAAAGAAAAUAUAUAUUUUAUUCGAGUAUAGUGAGUAAAUGAUUUAAAUCAACAAUAAUAGAUUUUAAAAGAAGAGUGAUUUACAAUGUACAACAAAUUCAAGUAGAUUUUUAUUAGAUAUUUUCUUUACUUUUUUUCCUUCAUAUAAAAAUUGACAGAAUUUAAUAGAUCAUUCAAAAUACAAUCUUUUCUUAUGUGCUACCUUCAAAAUAUUAUUUUCCUCCUUUUCGUUUUUAGUUUAUAUUUUUUGUUAAAUAUUUUUUACUAAGACAUUUAUAUUUGGAGGAGAAAUGAACAUUAAAUAUAAUAGCUAUUCUUUAGGUGUUAACGAUGACUACG
rnacentral:lncRNA from 1 species